rnacentral:piRNA from 1 species
UGAGUAAUUCAGAAGUUGGUUGUGGA